GUUCCUUCAAGUAGGUCAACCUACACAUAUAAAAAAGUAGCCCAAUCCGUACAUGUAUAACCAUUAGAUUAAGUACCACCCUUGCCCACUCAAAGCUUAUAAGAACUAUCGUCCAAGGUCGUUUUUACUUCUAACGUAGAGAAAAAUAGAUGCACCUCUCUCCUGAGUGAUUAACCAAAAACUAUCAUAAUUCACGCCAACGUGUCCAGGAGCUACCACAAUUCGUGCCGAAAACUAUCAAUUUUCUGCUAAUUAGUGACAAAAACUAUCAAGUGUGUAAAACGUCUGAUUUGACUCGUUUAAACUCGAUUAUGACAGGGUUGAUCCACACGUCAGGACGGAAAGAUCAGCACCGUUAAGUUUGCCGUGACCGGAGAAAGAGAUCGACACGGCGGC
rnacentral:lncRNA from 1 species